UUCCUGGUAGCUGAGUGGUAAAGCAUCUGCCUGCAAUGCAGGAGACCCUGGUUUGAUCCCUGGGUCAGGAAG